GACGAACGCUGGCGGCGUGCUUAACACAUGCAAGUCGAACGGAAAGGCCCUUCGGGGUACUCGAGUGGCGAACGGGUGAGUAACACGUGGGUGAUCUACCCUGCACUUUGGGAUAAGCCUGGGAAACUGGGUCUAAUACCGAAUAGGACCACGCGCUUCAUGGUGUGUGGUGGAAAGCUUUUGCGGUGUGGGAUGGGCCCGCGGCCUAUCAGCUUGUUGGUGGGGUAAUGGCCUACCAAGGCGACGACGGGUAGCCGGCCUGAGAGGGUGACCGGCCACACUGGGACUGAGAUACGGCCCAGACUCCUACGGGAGGCAGCAGUGGGGAAUAUUGCACAAUGGGCGCAAGCCUGAUGCAGCGACGCCGCGUGAGGGAUGACGGCCUUCGGGUUGUAAACCUCUUCCAAUAGGGACGAAGCGCAAGUGACGGUACCUAUAGAAGAAGCACCGGCCAACUACGUGCCAGCAGCCGCGGUAAUACGUAGGGUGCGAGCGUUGUCCGGAAUUACUGGGCGUAAAGAGCUCGUAGGUGGUUUGUCGCGUUGUUCGUGAAAACUCACAGCUUAACUGUGGGCGUGCGGGCGAUACGGGCAGACUAGAGUACUGCAGGGGAGACUGGAAUUCCUGGUGUAGCGGUGGAAUGCGCAGAUAUCAGGAGGAACACCGGUGGCGAAGGCGGGUCUCUGGGCAGUAACUGACGCUGAGGAGCGAAAGCGUGGGGAGCGAACAGGAUUAGAUACCCUGGUAGUCCACGCCGUAAACGGUGGGUACUAGGUGUGGGUUCCUUCCUUGGGAUCCGUGCCGUAGCUAACGCAUUAAGUACCCCGCCUGGGGAGUACGGCCGCAAGGCUAAAACUCAAAGGAAUUGACGGGGGCCCGCACAAGCGGCGGAGCAUGUGGAUUAAUUCGAUGCAACGCGAAGAACCUUACCUGGGUUUGACAUGCACAGGACGCCGGCAGAGAUGUCGGUUCCCUUGUGGCCUGUGUGCAGGUGGUGCAUGGCUGUCGUCAGCUCGUGUCGUGAGAUGUUGGGUUAAGUCCCGCAACGAGCGCAACCCUUGUCCUAUGUUGCCAGCGGGUUAUGCCGGGGACUCGUAGGAGACUGCCGGGGUCAACUCGGAGGAAGGUGGGGAUGACGUCAAGUCAUCAUGCCCCUUAUGUCCAGGGCUUCACACAUGCUACAAUGGCCGGUACAAAGGGCUGCGAUGCCGUGAGGUGGAGCGAAUCCUUUCAAAGCCGGUCUCAGUUCGGAUCGGGGUCUGCAACUCGACCCCGUGAAGUCGGAGUCGCUAGUAAUCGCAGAUCAGCAACGCUGCGGUGAAUACGUUCCCGGGCCU
rnacentral:rRNA from 1 species